rnacentral:tRNA from 1 species
GGAAGUGGGGGGCGGCUGGUGCCGUUCGCGGUCUUCAAAACCGUUGGUCCCACGGGUUUCCCUGGGACGGUGGGUUCGAUUCCUGCGCACUUCCGCCA